GUGAAUCAUCGAAUUUUUGAACGCAUAUUGCACUCUCUGGUAUUCCGGAGAGUAUGCCUAUUUGAGGGUCAUUUGAAAUAAUAUAAAUUCUAAGAUUUCUCUGAAUUUAAAAUGGGUUGUCCAUUUGUUGUGGUCGCCUAAGAUCCAAGACAAGCUCAUUUUCUUGGUUUUCUUGAUACUUUCAGUUAUCUCGUUACUUAACUAUGAAUCAUCGGGCGCGUGAUGAAUUUU
rnacentral:misc_RNA from 1 species